UUUUAGUUGUUUGCUUGUCCCUUUUGGUUCAGGCGGGUGAUUAAUAGUAGGACGGUUUCGGGGAAUGUCAACCGUAAAGGUGCGUGAGUGGUGUUUGGCAUGUUACGGGUGGUUGGAUGUCUGCUAGCGCAGCAACGUCCAUCCGUGCAAGCCUCUUCAUUUGUGUUUCAAGGUCGGAAUGACCUUCCAACAUUUGCUGGGAUCCUUGUGUUGUAUACCUACUUGAUGGUAUUGUGUUGUUCCAUUGACGUCCCUUUUCGUCACGCGUUGCUCAAGCGACGUGGGAUGAACCUUGAAGCGGUCUCUGUGAUCCAUCCCAUCGAUGCAUAUGCGUCGUUGAAAUGGCCCAUUGAACACUGUUUGGUUUUAUGGAUACGGAACCUUGUUUUGGGUAUGGGGUCUUUGUACCUUGUGUUUGCCCUUACCAAGCGUUCUCGCUUCUCUAAAACGACUGUCGGUCAUGUGUCUACUAUGUUAAUGCGUGGCCGACGACGUCGAGAAGGAAUG
rnacentral:misc_RNA from 1 species